UGUGUGAUGGGUUUGCCGCGAUGAUGUCAGC
rnacentral:piRNA from 1 species